UUUUAACCCAAGGUUACCUCAAAUGUUCUACAAAGUCAAGAAUAACCUUGAAUUCCCGGUCGUUCUGCCUCUAUGUCCAGAGAGCUUGGGAUUCCAGACAUGUACCACCACUCUCCACUGAAUACUCUUCCAUUAAGUAUUUACAGAGUGCCUCUAUAUUCCAUAUGUAUUUCUAAGCAAUAGAAAUACAGACUUGGAUGAAUAAAGCAGAAACAGUCUCCAAACAACAGACUGUAUAUUUAGUGAGGGGGAGAACAAAAGAGAAGUUGCACAUGGAAGACACAGCAGGGUUUCCUGAGGUCUCUCUAAGACUCUAUUAAGCAAAGUGCAAAGGCCGCAAGGUCAAGCAUGUGCUGCUCAGUGGAGGUGAUGCUGGAGUUGAGUCGUGAAGGGUUGUACCUGUGACAACUGAAAGGAACGUUCCAGACAUCAUUUGAAAUGGUAUUGUUGUGUGAAUUUAAUUGAGCAUCCUUGGAAAAGCAAAGUGGCCAGAGUAGCCGGAGCAGAAUGUGAAAUGAUGGCCACAUAUCAGCAGGGGAACCUGCUGGACAUGAGGUUCUAACUCCACAGGAGACGGGGAGCCACUGGAGGGGUCUGAUUACAAGUGCCACAGAAUCCGACUUAGGCUCAAAGUGAUCACUCCAGCUGCUAUGAAGAGAGCAGAGUAGAGGAUGAAAGGUUGUGGCUAGAAGAGCAAAUGACUCAUAGGUUAUCCAGGAGUUUAGAAGUUAAGCAACCAAUAGUCCAUAUUUUUCGGUCCAAUUGAAGAGAACUCUCUGGGCUAACUUAAUGCUAUAGGCUUGAACUAUGGGAGGAUGAGUUCAGGAAAGUUUAAACUUGGCUCAAGGUUACAGGCCUACUUUACCUGUUUCUAACACAUCGGAGAGGCAGAUUUUCCUUCCAGCUGUUUCACACAGCCAACCCUUUUAUACCUCGAGCUUCAGGUCCUUUAUGUUGAGACCCUUCUUCUCCUACACAAACUCAACACCUUCCUUCUCGGUAUCUGAGUCUAGACUCUCGAUGCAAGGCUGGAUAUGAAGCAUAAUUCUUCUUGUUCGGUACCACUGUAGAGUGACGAUGUUGUCAGCAAUUAGUUGUGUCUUUCACAACAGCGGAUUGAGAAGAUAUUAAACAUUCUCAACCCAAACUGAUGAUGAUAGCUGAAUCACCAAAAUACUUGAUCUAAUCAUCACAGGCUGCAUAUGUGGACUGAAAUGGCACACUACUCCAAUGGACAGUACUAUAGAACAACACAACAACAAAUCCCUUUACUCUCACUCAAAACAGCAUCAUCAAGGCUUGCUCAGAGCUCGCUUCUUUACCAGCCUCCUUCCCUCUUUCUGUAUUCACAGAACUGAAGAGAGCUUGGGUUUGAAGGAAUGCUGUGGCUACUUUGAUCUUCUACCUAGACCAUGAACACCGUCUCUGUGUCAUCAAUAAGGCUGUUAACUAUGUUAUCACCCACGGGCUUGUUGGAGUUGCACCUUCAAACUGUUCCUUUGCAUUCAAGUGGCUAUUUUGUGUAAGGAGCCCAGUUUUCAAUACAUUUCAGCCCUUGGCAAACUUUCCUCUCUAAACAUAACCAUUUCUAACUUUUGAAUUAAAGUAAGAAAUGUGUGACUCUUCCUUCCAUUUGGA